GGACGGCGGUGGGCCCGGCCUGGCGGGGUCCGGGACCCUCACCUGGCACCUGCAGGUGAUGGAUGCCCGGAGAGCGGCCACAGGAGCCCCACGCCCCUCAUGUCAGGGAGCACCUUUAUGUCUGAGCUUGGACACCUCGGCGAAGGCGAGGUGUCCUGGAUGACUCCCCUUCUCCAGGGGUGGCUCGGCCGCUCCGAAAUGAACCCCCCACCCCGCUCCCCUCCGUGCCCCACGGCGAGGACCCUCAGGGGGCCGAUACCCCGAGCGGGGUCGGUGGGCAGCGCUCCCGCCGGAGGGCGAGGGGAGCCCAAACCCGCCGUCCCUGCUCGCAGCGGGGCGCGGUGAUUGCAUAAGCCGGUGGAUGCCGGUGGGGAGCUCCCACUGACAUGCAGUGUCCGUAGUUAUGCAAUGCGGCCGUGCCGGCGGGGAGCUCCGGCCGAGGCCACCAAGCCCUGCCCGUGCCAUGCCAGGAAUCCCUCGCCUGGACCACAGCAGGAGUGACUUGUGCCGUCAAACAUGCUGUAAUGAUCAUGUUGACGAGUUCGGGGUCCUGGGCGGGGGGGAAUUGAGGAAGGCUUUCUUCCCGCUUCCUCACCGCUGGGGUUUGAUGGCAUGAGUAUCUCUUUAGAAACGUGACACAGCAGAUGGACUUGGCCUGCGCUCUGCAGGACCUCGCACAGUUCCCUUGGCUUUUCGUGCCUCAUGCCUGCACACUGGGGUUGGGUUGGUCGAUGCCGCUGUCCUUCUUCCUCUGAGGCGCUGUGGGGAUUAAUUAUAUUGAGUAAAGUGAAGUGGAAGAAGCUAAGUCACUGCAAUAUUUAAGGUUUCAAUAUGACUGUGUCCAUUGGGAAACGCUUGCAAUCAGUGGGUGAUGCCAUCUGAAAAAUCAAGAGGUACUGAGAGUAAGUGCAGAUUGUGCAAGUGUUUAGACACUUGACUAACUUUUUCAGCAGUGCCCACUAAUUUGGGGAUGUUUUCAUCUCUGGAUGCCCAGCUGGAGAUGGCUCAUAGAAGCUUAUGUUUGAGCAUACAGCUCUACUGUAAGUCCUGUGCUGAAGUCAUGGCUUCUUCAGGUGUACCGGCACAGCUGGGCACGAGGGCAGUGAGCAUCCCUGUGGCCCAGGCCUCAGCAUGGGAAAAACCACUGGACUCUUUUCUUCAUGCCGAAUCACUGGGUGUCAGCUGCCACCACAUGGAAAAGCAUCUGGCUUGUAUACUGCCAGGAGACUGAAUUCAUAAAUAGUGCAGUAACAUGAACCCAUCACACAACACAAACAGCUGGCUUUCGAGUGGGGAGGUGAGUGCAUUCACAAGUUCUCCGCAAAGUGGAACUGGAGUUAGCUUGAUGGGUUUGUCAGCUCCUGAGUGCUGCUUACCGCACCACAGUCUGAUGCCACCUGCAUUAGGCUUUUUUUUUCCUGCUGGCCUAAGAGGGAACAGAAAUCACCCUGAAUUUGUUUGUUUGUUUGUUUUUUAAUUUAGUUGUAUGGUGUUAUGCAUUGUCCCAAGAGCUCUUUUCAGAACUCCUUGUCUUCUGUGCUGUACAGGGAGCCACUUUGUUGGAUAAGAUUAAAUUCACUGGACAUAAAAUCAGGCCGGCCAGUUAUUUGUGCCAAAGCACAAACUUAUGAAGAGAGAGAUAAUCAUUAUGUCUUUGUUUUGUAGCUGGUUUUAAUUGAACUUUUUCAUUUCAAAAUAAUUAAAUAUCAAGUCUUGUCUAUUUGGCUGGCUGCUUUGCCUUGUGUUUGUCUUUUUGGCAUGUUUUCUGAAAACUAGCACAAAUGCAGCAUUUAUUUUGUUGGCCGUGGAUUGUCUGGAACAACCUGCACUAUGAAAUUACGGUGGGAGAGAACAUUCAUCAGUUUUUAAGGCUCUGGUGGUCUGUGCCUUUCUGUUUCUGUGCCUUGUUCUCCUCUUACCCCGUAACAGCCCAGGAGGUUAUUGAGAAUCCCGUGUACAGUACAAACAAGGUGAGGCAGCCAGAGCAGGAGCUCUGCCUCUGUGUGCCGCUGUCCUGCCUGCGUGAUGGUCACUCCUCUGGUUUCUCCAAGAGAGAUGUUCUCCAGCAGAAGAUUACCUGCCUCUGCAGUGCCCAGCAGGCUGUGGAGCAGGAUUCCAUUUCUGAAAUGGCAACACUGUGCCUCUCACCCAUGGAGGGGCCUCCUUGAGACCCAGCUUCCCAGCCCCUCUGCAAAGAUCUGCAGGACAGGGAGUCCCAAGGUGCCAGUCAGGAGGAUAGAGAGGGUUGGAGAACCACUAGGAGCAUUGGUAUGUCCUUGCUGUUAUGUGGGACAGGGAGUCUGGGAGGACAGAGAAUCCUGGCUCUGCCAUGCUCAGGCUGCUGCUGCCAGGUGGCAGUUCACUGGUGGCCCUUUUUGCUGAGGGGCUGCUUUCUCAAGGGGAACAAAAUCCUGCCUCCUCCUGCCUUUCCAGUUUUCUCAGAGUUCUGUGGCUGUUGUUGUAGGUGCUGAUUCCUGUUCAUCAGCUGGAGUGUGUGACUCUUGUGCCCCCCCCCCCAGGUGAUGUCCACAAUAAAAUGAUCUUUCCUGUCUUCUGACUGUGCUGCCAUAGGACAUCCUGGGGUGAGGAAUUGUUGUUUGGGGAUGAAUCUUGGGGGAGAAUUGAGUUUGGGGUCAUUUUUUUUGUCCCAGCACCCUUCCCAGCAGGCAGCAGGGUUGAGUUGAGGUGCUUUAGGAGUCAAACCAAAGCAGAAUAUCCCGCCCAUGUGUGGAGGUUGUAAGGCACCUGUGAAAGUUGUUGUCCUAGUUAGAACAGCUGGGACCAGUUCAUCACUGUAUGGGUGUAACCCAAAACUGUGUAUUGUAUAGCCUUCCAUGCCAUUUCCCAGAAACUGUUAUCAAUAGGCCAUUUACACCGUCUGCCCAGAGCAGCCUGACUCCUCAGGCUAUAAACUGGGUGUUAAGAGGCCUGCGAGAUAGGAGGAUGUUCCUGUCCUCACACCCAUUGUGGAACUCCCCGCUCUGAGGGAGGCACUGGGCAUUCCUGCCUGAACUGAAGGAUAUAUAUAAUCUUGGGGUCUUGGGACUUUUUAACCACUUGUGGGAUUCAGAGGAAGACUGCAGACCACCACUCUCAACCAGACUGCAACCACCACCCUCGACCGGACUGCAAUCACCACUCUUGACCAGACUGCAACAGCACUCUCACCAACAGGUUUUCCCCUCUCCUUUUACUUUGGACUCAGGGGGCCCAACAAACACCACUCUGUUCAUGCCCCAGGGUGCUGGGUUAUACAUUUGGGUUUUGUGGGUUAAAACCAAUUGUUUGUCUGUAUAAUCGUACUUAUUGUAUUAUUUUAUUAAAUUGUUAUUCUGAUUUAUAA